rnacentral:rRNA from 1 species
CCUACGGGUGGCAGCAGUGAGGAAUAUUGGUCAAUGGCCGGAAGGCUGAACCAGCCAAGCCGCGUGAAGGACGAAGGUGCCAAGCAUUGUAAACUUCUUUUGUCAAGGGACAAAAUCAGGCUCGAGAGCCUGACCGAGUGUACUUGAAGAAAAAACAUCGGCUAACUUCGUGCCAGCAGCCGCGUUAAUACGGGGGAUGCGAGGGUUAUCGGGAUUUAUUGGGGUUAAGGGGUGCGUAGGGGGAGUGUUAAGUCAGCGGUAAAAGCCCGGGGCUCAACCCCGGCGAGCCGUUGAAACUGGCUGUAUUGAGAGGGCGAGAGGGAUGCGGAAGGCGCGGUGUAGCGGUGAAAUGCUUAGAUAUUGCGCAGAACGCCGAUUGCGAAGGCAGCAUACCGGCGGCGAUCUGACGCUGAGGCACGAAAGCGUGGGUAUCGAACAGGAUUAGAUACCCCAGUAGUC